AUUGAACGCUGGCGGCAGGCCUAACACAUGCAAGUCGAGCGGCAGCGGGAAAGUAGCUUGCUACUUUUGCCGGCGAGCGGCGGACGGGUGAGUAAUGCCUGGGGAUCUGCCCAGUCGAGGGGGAUAACUACUGGAAACGGUAGCUAAUACCGCAUACGCCCUACGGGGGAAAGCAGGGGACCUUCGGGCCUUGCGCGAUUGGAUGAACCCAGGUGGGAUUAGCUAGGUGGUGAGGUAACGGCUCACCAAGGCGACGAUCCUUAGCUGGUCUGGGAGGAUGAUCAGCCACACUGGAACUGAGACACGGUCCAGACUCCUACGGGGGGCAGCAGUGGGGAAUAUUGCACAAUGGGGGAAACCCUGAUGCAGCCAUGCCGCGUGUGUGAAGAAGGCCUUCGGGUUGUAAAGCACUUUCAGCGAGGAGGAAAGGUUGGUAGCUAAUAACUGCCAGCUGUGACGUUACUCGCAGAAGAAGCACCGGCUAACUCCGUGCCAGCCGCCGCCGUAACAC
rnacentral:rRNA from 1 species